rnacentral:rRNA from 1 species
CACGUAGUUAGCCGUGGCUUCCUCCUUGGGUACCGUCAUUAUCGUCCCCAAAGACAGAGUUUUACAAUCCGAAGACCUUCAUCACUCACGCGGCGUUGCUGCAUCAGGGUUUCCCCCAUUGUGCAAUAUUCCCCACUGCUGCCUCCCGUAGGAGUCUGGGCCGUGUCUCAGUCCCAAUGUGGCCGAUCACCCUCUCAGGUCGGCUACGCAUCGUCGCCUUGGUAAGCCAUUACCUUACCAACUAGCUAAUGCGACGCGGGCCCAUCUCAUAGCGGAUUGCUCCUUUUAUUGCCGUUUCAUGCGAAACUACAAUCUUAUGAGGUAUUAAUCUUCCUUUCGAAAGGCUAUCCCUCUCUAUGAGGCAGGUUGCCCACGUGUUACUCACCCGUCCGCCGCUAAUCCACUUCCGAAGAAGCUUCAUCGCUCGACUUGCAUGUGUUAGGCACGCCGCCAGCGUGUCCUGUACGCACGGAUCAACGUAC